UGAGUUUGAUCCUGGCUCAGAUUGAACGCUGGCGGCAGGCCUAACACAUGCAAGUCGAGCGGAAACGAGAAGUAGCUUGCUACUUCGGCGUCGAGCGGCGGACGGGUGAGUAAUGCCUGGGAAAUUGCCUUGAUGUGGGGGAUAACCAUUGGAAACGAUGGCUAAUACCGCAUAAUGCUUUUGUUUGUAAUGAACGGGAGCCAAAGAGGGGGACCUUCGGGCCUCUCGCGUCAAGAUAUGCCCAGGUGGGAUUAGCUAGUUGGUGAGGUAAUGGCUCACCAAGCAACGAUCCCUAGCUGGUCUGAGAGGAUGAUCAGCCACACUGGAACUGAGACACGGUCCAGACUCCUACGGGAGGCAGCAGUGGGGAAUAUUGCACAAUGGGCGAAAGCCUGAUGCAGCCAUGCCGCGUGUGUGAAGAAGGCCUUCGGGUUGUAAAGCACUUUCAGCGAGGAGGAAAGGUUAAUGGUUAAUAGCCAUUAGCUGUGACGUUACUCGCAGAAGAAGCACCGGCUAACUUCGUGCCAGCAGCCGCGGUAAUACGAGGGGUGCAAGCGUUAAUCGGAAUUGCUGGGCGUAAAGCGUACGCAGGCGGUUUGUUAAGCGAGAUGUGAAAGCCCUGGGCUCAACCUAGGAACUGCAUUUCGAACUGGCAAACUAGAGUACUGUAGAGGGGGGUAGAAUUUCA
rnacentral:rRNA from 1 species